CGGAACAUAGCUCAGCGGGUAGAGCAACUGGCUUAUAUCCAGUGUGGCGGGGGUUCGAGUCCUCCUGUCCCGA
rnacentral:tRNA from 1 species